AGGACGAACGCUGGCGGCGUGCUUAACACAUGCAAGUCGAGCGGUAAGGCCCUUCGGGGUACACGAGCGGCGAACGGGUGAGUAACACGUGGGUAACCUGCCCUGUACUGUGGGAUAAGCCUGGGAAACUGGGUCUAAUACCGCAUAUGACUGCAUCCUGCAUGGGGUGUGGUGGAAAGUUCUGGCGGUACAGGAUGGGCCCGCGGCCUAUCAGCUUGUUGGUGGGUGAUGGCCUACCAAGGCGACG
rnacentral:rRNA from 1 species